CUGCUUUUGAGGAAGGUGAGGACCGGAAGAAUGGGAGAGUUCCCAUGGUGAACAAGGAAGCGGCUGGAGCGCUCCGUUGCUGAGCAACGAUUGGACCAGCCAUCAUCACGUGACCGGAUAAAGUGCCAUUGUUUCCUGAAAAUUAGAUUCGAUGACGGUUCUUUCCGGGUAUUGGCUAACGCGGAGCGUCUGUGAUUGAUGGGAGAAUUGUUGCCAUGGAAACACUGCUCAAGUUGACGGGAACAGCAGCUUACCCGUGAGCAACGUACAGUUAUUCUGCAAUGAACCCACACUAGAAAUGGCGACAGCAGGAAUCCCUCCUGAACCAAGGUAACUGACUUGGGUGUUAAGCAGUAAUAAAACUGCAAAGUGUUGAUAAAGCCACUGUUUCUUUUCAGAGGAGGAGGAUAAGGAGAGAAUCAGAACAGGUGGAAUCCACACAACUUUUCUCCCAGCAGAGAAGCAACUAUGACAGCAGGGACCCCUUCUAAACCAAACACUGACAGCAUUCAUUCACAGGCCCAGUAUACCUGAAGGAGCGUCUCCAACCCCAUCGUUCUUCCCGGACACUGAAGUCCAGCGCCAAGGGCCUUCUGGCGGUUCCCUCAU